GUUUGCAUCCCAAUAUUACACUUUAUAUAUAUAUCCCAGAAGACUGAAGCAAAACUGUUUGACAUAGAAACACUGGAUUUUGGGCUGUUUAAAAAACAAUAAUGGUAAUUAAAUAAGAAAUUAUGAAAAAUAUGAAAAACAUUCCACCCAUGAGGCCACUAGGUCAUUUGACUGCAGGAAAGGGCUACGAAUGUCUGGCGCUGCCAGAUGCAGCUCGGCAACUGGAGCUGUACGGUCAAUCGUGGCCCGGUCCAGUCCAACAAAGACGGGAGGCACAUUAAAUGUGGUUAAAUAAACAUUCAGGAAUAACAGACAAUCCACUAACACAAGUUUUAAUGAAUGUGUAUUUGUUAUCAAUGAUGUUGUGCUAUUCAUUCAAAUCUCACUUAUUUGCCACUUGAAUCUAAUUGGGCAUCUUUGAGUGUGGCUUCCUUCCAAUCUGUUUGUGCACUCUAUGUGAGUGUUUCGGAGCAGAUCUCUUCUGUUUCACUGGGCCUCUCUUGGGAGUUGAAUCCACCGACGAGUCAGAAAGGGCAGAGGUGUCAUGAACAUCUGAAUCAUCAGCUGAGUGAUCUGAAAUAUCCACUUUGGACUGCUUCACAUCUGCAGAUUCCAAAUGGAUACUUUUGACGGGGUCAAGCCAGAGAAAGAGGCUAACACAAUAUCCUGUACACAUAUCCAAGAUGCAUGUUUUCAAAUGUGCUUUCAAGUCUGUACUUUGUCUUAUUUUCAUUUCUACUUCUCAUACAUUUUCCUAACCUAAGUGGCUUCAAGUGAUUCUUCUUUUUUUUCACACUGGUGACCUCUCGGAUGAAGUACUCCUUCUUGAACAGUUCCCCUUGGAGUAAGACUUUGUAAUCUUUCCGGAUUUUUAAUUAGUCUCGUCUCGUAUAGCACCUUUUUCUCUCCCUCUCUCAGUCCAGAAGCUGUGUGAGCUGUCUCACCUGGUGAACAGCAGUCGGCGCAGCAACUCUGGUUAUUCACACCAACACUGGGGUUUACACCACUGAGUGUUCAUUUCUGAGUCAAUUGAAGUCCUGAAUCAACACUAGAAAUGUUACACUGAAAAAUCAACCCUGGCCAGUUUGUUGGGCACUUUGUAAUUGUAUAGCAACAACCUAUGGUGUAUAAUAUGUGUCUGCCUUAGGCUUUUCAUCACUUCACCUAAAGCAAUCAAAGAUGACUUUUCGUGGCUUAUAAGUAUGCUGCAACACACCAUAACAAAGAUGAUGAUGCAGCAAUAUGCUCAUUGACAAAAACGUUUGAAAUGCAUCACACUGAUGGCCAUUAGAAUGCUAUGUGGUCCUUGAGGAAAAAGCGACCGGCAAUGAUUAUACUCAUAAUGCAUUAGGAGUAUUGGCUAUAUGGAAUUAUGUGUUUUUAGGAGUUCUUAUGUGUGUCUAUAACUAUGCUUAUACUGCAUUAUCACUCUGUCCUAGUGCAUUAUGUGUCCAUGUAUAAUGCUGUGUAUGGACCUCAUAGAAAGUGUUCCUGAAUUAAUCUCUCUUUCUCAAAAAGCUGAAUCAAGAUCAAAGUAACUCAAACUAACAAACGGACAGAAAUCAAGUUAGGACUCAGAUUCAGAAAUCUGACUCACAUUCAGAAAUCAAGUUAGGACUCAGCUCUAAGCCUUCAACCAUUGCCAUGAACUUAUUUUUUUGUCGAUAGAAAUCAGUGUCCCCCCUCAGUCUGUCUUAUCUGUGUACAGUGGCCAGUCAAGGGAGACUGAUGCCAUUCAGAGUCUAAUUAAUUCAACAUCUCAAUUAAGGCCUCCACUCCCUCCCUGCCCCACUACCUUCUCAUUCGGCCCCACUGAGCAGGCCCUGACACUCCUACAAACAGCCUCGCGGCCUGCCAAAACAUUUCAAUCACUGUCUGCCUUAAUUACGCCAAAGAGGAAUUCAGAAUGUUAAUGAACUGCCCUGGUGCCUUUCAGAGGCUAUGGUUUACAUGCUAAUUUAUGCAAAGUGGCGGGGCCUCUGCAUGGUUUGACCAUCGUCUCCCAUAACACUGCCUGAGCCGGCCCAACCCACCCAGCCAAAGCAUUGCCCUGGGGGGCAUGGCUGCACUGCCCAGCUGGUACUUCAAACUCUAGUUGGCACAGUUAACACUGAGCUCUUUUUCAAAGAACUGAAUGGCUUUCACACUGAUAAAAACAACAAUAUUGUAUUAGGGGGGGACUGAGACUAGGUACACAAAUAGUUCACUACCAAAUACCAUGUCAGCAUAAAAAACGAUGGAAUUUUAUCGGUUUUCAUUCAUCUUCAUCUCUUUAAAAUUAAGGAAGCUGGAAAGUAGUAAAAGUAAUUUAUCUUAUCCACUCAGAUGGGCAUAACAGUGCCACCUUUUAUCCGGAUAAAACAAACAGAAAAAUCCAUCUGGGAUCCAAUACGAUGGAUUAAAAGAAGCAGUGAGAGAGUUUCACAGGUUUCUGCCCCACAGAUGUUGUCACUUAAGAAUGCCAAGCAACUCCCUAAAAUGGCCGAAUCGCUGCCAUUUUGUUUUCAUCCUUUCCCCUUCCUUCCUUCCUUUGCAUUUCUUGCAGGCUAUCCACACUGCUCUGUGCAGGCUAGGGGGAGGCAACCGGGGGAAGCCAUGUUUAAAUAAGCUACCAAUUAAACAGCAAGCUUCCGUGGGGUUGUAGGGCUGGAAAGAGCCAAGUUACUCGAAAAAAUGGGCACUAAUUCCUGGCGCGGCUCUCCUUUAUUACAUGCCAACCUCUCUGGAUGCCAGUGAGUUACGCUUUAGGCUUGCCGAAAUUAGCACACUUUCCUUAGCGCCUGCAUCGUUUCGUCUUUAUUUCGUUAAUCUUUUGGCAAAAGCUAUCUUAUGCGAUUCCGUUGCGAUCACAUGACACACCUUCUGUCCAUAUAACUGUAGAAGUGGCACAGACACACCUGUCGAUGCCAUAAUACCAACGGAUGAUUCCUCUGGAUGUUGUGAACUGACGCAGUUUAGUAGCACAGUUCACACGAAGGAAAGCAGUCGAGCUUUCACAGCUUCGUUCUGUAGUGGCGAAUUUGAACCAGGCCCAGGAUUAAACAGCAGAGCCAGAACCAGAGAGGAAAUUGCUCCUUUGAGUUCCCUAGUAAGAACUGCUAAACCUCAUCUCUGGGUCAACGCCAGACUAAGCACCUGUCCUUGAGGCUGAGGUAGUAGAUUGAAUAGUUGUGGGGUAUAUGUCCUCCCUCUGAGAUAACUAUACAAUCUACUGUCUUUCCUAAGGAGACAGACUGAUCGUCAAUAACCCUGAAGAGUGACCGUUCUCCCCUGACCGUAGCACCCAUCUUCCCAGCCUGGACACCUGCCUGCAGCCGGUCUCUGCUCUGUGGGGAAGUUACCCCAUUAUAGCAUAUCACCUCCAUUUACACCCAUUCACAGACUGUUGCAGGACAAAAUGAGAACGGGUAACAUUUCCUUUGUUAGACCACCCGAUGCUUUAUUUUGGUUAUUGGGGCCUGUUGUGUUUGAGUGAAAGUGUACUUUAGGGUGAGAGCGUUUGUGUUGUCGCCUCUCGCUGUAUCUAUUUGAGUGUGUCUGAAUGACAUUCCCCCUUCAUCCGUCAGUCUUUCAGGUGAAUGUGUCCUGGCGAGGUGAGGUAGUAGGUUGUAUAGUUUGUGGGAGGGAUUUAAUCCUAUUCAGGUGAUAACUAUACAGUCUAUUGCCUUCCUUGAGAGGCACAAUGACAGUCUGCAGCAAUGAGGAAGUCCACUGCUCUCUGAAUUCCUCAAUGCGUUUGAUGCAAUCUCACUAUGAUAAAGCAACAGCUGGAGCACAAAUGGGUUUAUAGCCUCUCCAGCGCCACUUGGUGGCCAAGGAGCAGCAGGACUCCAGAGACCUUGUAGGUUCAGGAUUCAGAGCUUCUCAAGAAUGAAAGGAUAUGAAAAGCACUCAACAGAGAAUGCAUCAGUGUUACAACAUCUAAACAAUAAAUGGUUGGUUCUCCAGAACCAAAUCAAGCCCUAAAUAAAUGUGUAUAGGCUUGUGAUAUGUUUUAUGGUAACAUUAUUCAAUGUUGUAUUAAUUAAUAAAGGUUAAAUAUAGCUAUUAAACUUG